rnacentral:ncRNA from 1 species
AGAGGUAGAGGCGCGGGUCUUAAAAGUACGACGAUUUAACCGCUCAAAAGGGAAUCGCCCGAAAGGAAGGCUUGCCGAAAUCAUUACGUUUUUUGAGAAGCGUAAGAGGUUGGGCGUCGGCAGAAUAUGUCGACGACUGUCGCAGAAAGCCUAUGGCUUGGCGGAGUGCUAUCGUG